GCCGCGAUAAUGUAACGGCAGCAUAAGAGACUGUGGCUCUCUUCGUCGGGGUUCAAAUCCCCGUCGCGGCC
rnacentral:tRNA from 1 species